rnacentral:rRNA from 1 species
UACGUAGGGAGCAAGCGUUGUCCGGAAUCAUUGGGCGUAAAGCGCGCGUAGGUGGCCAUUUAAGUCCGCUGUGAAAGUCAAAGGCUCAACCUUUGAAAGCCGGUGGAUACUGGGUGGCUAGAGUACGGAAGAGGCGAGUGGAAUUCCUGGUGUAGCGGUGGAAUGCGCAGAGUAUCAGGAGGAACACCGGUGGCGAAGGCGGCUAUCUGGACAGAAACUGACGCUGAGGCGACGAAAGCUAGGGGAGCAACAGG